UUCACAUUGCUCUACAUGUCCAAGUGAAUAAAUUCAACUAAGCAUGGGUAAACGACAAGAGUAAUUAUGAAUCUCUUAAGGUAGCCAGAUGCCUCAUCAUCUAAUUUGUAAUG
rnacentral:ncRNA from 1 species